rnacentral:lncRNA from 1 species
GCCUCCCCGGCGCAGCGGCGCCUCUGGGCCGAGCACGCGCACCAGCGGCCUCCGCGCAGGCUCCGUGCCCGCGCACGCGCCCUCGCGUCGCGCUCCUGGCGGAGACACCUGCGCUCGGGCCCGGCUCCGGGCGGUUCUCCCGGUGCCGUUCCACCGGGACUUCCGCGCUUCGGCGGCCUUUCUGACGAGCCGCGGCGCCCGGAGAUGUUCAGGUUGGAGCGACACUUCCCAGAGGGCAGCGGUCACGCCAGAUCUUCGGCUUCCAUUCCGUUUUCGCGCGGUUCUCCCUCUUCGCAAGGAGUGAAAUCAUACAGUAUUUCUUUCUCUGUCUGACUUGUUUUGCUCAAGAUCCAUCCAUGGUGUCUCACAUGGGAUGAGUUUGUCUGUUUUUAUGGUGGGAUGCCGCUGCAGUGUGGCCUGAUGAGAGCUGAUAGAUCCCACCUGAGAUCAGAACCUGCAAACCUUGGGUGACCGAAGCAGAGCACAUGAACUUAACCACUGUGCCACAGAGUUGGCCCCAACCAUCUCAGCUUUCAAUUGGAGUACUUCAUACAUUUCAAAUUUAAUUCAACUAUCGAUAUUGUUAACUUUUUAUCUCCCAUUCUGCUGUUUCCUAUGUCUUAUGUGCUUUUGUGCCUUUUUUACUGCUUUUUCAUAUCAAAUAUAUUUUUUUC